UUGAAGACGGCGGAGGAAGAGAUAGGGCCCUGCGGUACCUAGUCCCGCUGUCCUUGUAAGGACCGGGGCUCUGUGUGACCCAGAGGCGGGACCCUGGGACCCGGGGCCGAACGUCCGUGUGAGGGCCGGCUCUCGGGACCCAGAGGUUGUGACCCACGCCCAAGCUGGGGUGGGUCUGUAGGCUCCAAGGACGUUACGGGGCUGGAGAGUAGUGUGAGCAUGCAGUGUGAGCCAUAGUCACUACACGUGUCAGUGGAGUGUGUAGUGGGAGAGGUAGUGACCACACGUGUCAGUGAAGUGUGUGUAGUGUGAAGAAUAGUGACCACACGGUGUAUCGAGACAAGUCAAAGUUUAAUAAAAAGUCUGCUACCCGUCAAGAGGUUUCCUGCCGUCAUUCUGAAUACUUCAUAGGAGGGUCCUGCAUUGGGAUGCUUGUCAAACUCUAUUAAUGAGAGUUUGCCACGUGGUUGGAAACUGGAGUACCCUGAAUAAAAUCUACGCAUACGAGUGAAAAGGACUUUGGGCGAGGUAGUCGACGGAAGCUUCCCGGAAAACUGAAGAAGCUUCCAGAAGGGGCUCCUCAGCACGCGGAGUGAAUCGUCAGACAUCGUGUCGAACGGCGCGCGGCACAACCCAAAAACACACAUCUGAGAGCUGAUACAACAGGGCAAUCGCGACAAACCCUCGCAGUAGAUCUUCUUUUUUUAUUCCACCAUUGAUUUUUGUAACACCUAUUUGUUGAAGUGGAGGUAAGGGAGCGGGUUUGGGUUGGCCCUGCCUCAUUUAAUUUAAACACUCUUCACAAAAUAACUAUAGCACACUGCGUGUAUGGAGUUAGUGCAGAUGCAGCCAAUGCUUUUAUUGGAAGGAAUGGAGCACUUUCUCUUUAAUGCAAGGGGUCAAUUUGGCCGUAACACCUGCGUGCGGGAUAUAUAGCGUGCAAAUGUACGCCAGCCUGUUAACCUCAUUGAUCCUGUGCUGGGAAGGAUUUAUAUCGAGGGCUUUACAUUAGAGCCGGGAGAACCUCUUGAUCACAAUCCAAGGGAUUGUUUAGCCCGAUUAAGACCGUGGGCUGAUCCUACCAUAGAUCGUGGCCAAUUUUUUUCAACGAGCCAGAAGUGGGAGGGAGGAGUUUGCGUCUUGCCAGCGGUUGAGAGGCAUCGUGGUCCCAGCCCGUGAUAUGGAGCAGAGGAACACUCGCCAUGGUGACCGAAGGGGCUAUUAAUGAACACAUACAAUUCCCUCCGAUGUUCCCUUCACCUCACCUAACUAAAGCCCUAAAUCCAAAAUUGUAAUAGGUGCAGCAGGAUAAAGCGCCUGAUCUUGCUCCUUGAAGAUCACCCGUAAUGAAGCAAGCAUGAGCCCGGGCACUGUGUCUGUGUGUGUAACGAGGCUCACAGUUACACCACGCAGGCCUCGGAGGACAGGGCCCGUCCAGUGACGGUCCUGGCAGAAGCCGUGAGCUGGCGGGAUGGUUUGUACCAUAGCACCGUGGAGAUCGUUAACCGUGGCGAGUGAGCUCCCAGACCUACGGGGUUUGAGCUAGGCUGUACCAGUUGACCGGUAAAUGCCAACCAAGGAGGUAAAGCAUGAACGCUACAUAUGUGGCCAGGUGGCUCAGCGAUAUCAUGAAUGCCUUGCAGUCAGAUGGUUGCACAUUCGAAUCGUGUCUUGGGGUUGUUGACUGAGCCCCGUAUUCCUUUCAGGGUCGAUGCAAUUAUUACCAUUUUGUGGAGAAGACAACAGUGGCUGUCCUAUGGACAUACUUGCGCCCAACAUCAGAAUGUGGAUUUUUUUUACCAUUGUCUCAGAGCUGUAAACAGGUGAUGAGCACUGCCUCAAAGUUAGUUUGAGCAGUAAAUCACUGACACAUUUGACCAUAAACCAAAUGCGUGUGUUGGUGACUUAGUUUGUAAUGUAACUGCAAUUCUGUUAAAAUACUUAAUAUUUUGCAGUCCCUAUACGUUCGUAACAAUCAUAAGGUUAUGCAUCAUUUUGCAUAAAGAAUAUAGCUUGAUGCAUAUAUGUUACGAGCAAAAUUGCUUCUUCCCUUUAUUGUCUUUUUAUCGAUGUAUACAGUAUAUAUAUAAAUCAUGCCAUUGUUGGCAUUUAAUGAGAUAGAGUAUCCAUUCAGAACUCUGUCCAAGAAAAACAUAUAUCUGUGUUUUAGACAGUAACCCAUGGAAAUAUUUCACAAAAAUACUUCUGAAAAUACCUUUAUAUUUAAACACGAUGGGCGACACUUGAUCACACACGCUGCUACAGAGAGAAAUGUUCAUCAAAUAACAGUCACAUAUAUAUAGUCUUCUCAGCAAUGACAUUUAACCAAGUAAAGUUCAACACCCUAACUUAACGCGAUGCCUUUUUGUCUGGUCAUUGACGAUUGGACUGAAACCAUAAACUCAUCACACUUGUUCAUAAUCAAGUUUUUUUAUAACAUUGGUCGCGAAAGCCACAUUUGAGAGCCUGGUUUAAUCACAGGCACCUAAAAACCAAAUUUGAACCCAAAAUCUCAGCGGUAUCAGUUGAGUGCUUUGACCCCUGAACAACCUGCCCCCCUCGAAUAUUGUAUUGGAAUUUCAAUUUAAAAAAAAAUCUAGGCCAACCUCAGAUUAUCAUAUAUAUUCAAAAAAGGGUAUGCUUGUUCAAAUGAUCACUGGGUGAUGCCCAUGUAUGUUAGUGGUCCAGAGUCAGUUGCAAUUUUUUUCCAUGUGAAGACUAUUGCCUUCUCAUCAUCAUCAUCGUGCAUGAUCUAUCCACUGCUGGAUGAAGGCCUCCCCAGGCCAUCAUCAUCUUCCACUGUCUUGUAAAGAAACAAUUUAUCUCGCUCCUGCACAUGAGCCGAUUUCAUCGCUACAUCUUUAUUCACAACUACCACUUUAUUUUAUAAUGCAGUAUCACACUAGUUUGUCGGCGAUGACUUCAUUAACUACACAGUUUACUCAAUACUCUCAUGUGCUUUCCAGUUUUUUUGUCGAUGAUGUAUGUCUUCGAUUGUUUAGUGAACUUGUUCUAUGUGAUUUACAAUUUAAUUAAUUUUCUCCAUGACUUUUCUCUUGCUCAUAUUCAUCAUUUACUGGAGACUCUGUUCCAUUGGUUGUUACAAUGACUAUGUCACCACUGAAUCUGAGAUGACUAAUAUAUUCUCCCUUCAUAUUUAUGCCUUUUUAUUACACCAUUGUUUCUCGGAACCAAUUUUCUUCACAUCAGGUCGUAAUUUUAUCAGCCGCAGUGAUAUGAUACGCUGAGUCAACCGUAUAUUCCACCUACUGAGGUGUAUCGCAGUCAUUAUCCUCGUGGAUAAGGCGGUGCAUGUGCAAAGUGGUGGAAGGGCCAAUGGAGAGCAUCAGCCUGCCCAACGGACGGACUGCCCUCGAGUGUACUUUGCAAGAAGCAGCAUCACGUGCCCCUCUGAGAGUGCGUUUGUGACUAGGUCUUGAAGAAUGUUUGUCUUCCAAGGCCAAGCAAGAGCUCAUUUUAACCAGAAUAAACCUGGGACAUGUGGUAUCGAGGAUUCGCUGUGUAUGCCUAGAGUCGUUGAUAUAGGCAAACAACUAAGCAUUUUUACCAUUUAAUCUUAGGGGGAGUUUAAAAUAUUUCAAAAAUGUUUUCCCCUCCUUUAUAUAUAUAUUUUUAAAAUUGGGAGUUUUAAAUGGUUUUGUUAAACGAAGCAAGAUCUGGGCAACAUAAUAUGUACCAUUGUUAUUGUCUGAAUGAUCACUUGUCUUCACACCUGUCGCUCGAAGCAGAAUGAGCUUUCAGGUCAUUCAAACAAUACAGGUUUUUUUUAUUUAAGGUGUGCAGUUAUGAAAAGAUGCUCACUCCAUCUGUAGAACAGGCUGGUGACUGGCGCGUAUUGCAUGCAGCAAAUGGAUUUGGAAUGUUUCCAAUUGUCUUUGCAUCCAAGACACAGUGUGGUAAAUGCAAUGCUAUGCCUUCACUUGUGUCUCAAAGUAGCGAGCCGUAUACCACCACAAAUCACCAACCUAACACUGCCCACCCCCCCUCAACAUCUCUCACAGGAUACAUCAUUGACCGACAACAACAAUGUUCCAAAAUAGGGAAUUAUCUUGGACAGCGACGUCUAACCUGCAAAGGUUACACGUUGCCGACUGUCACCUCACGUGUU